rnacentral:rRNA from 1 species
CGUAGGGGGCGAGCGUUGUCCGGAAUUAUUGGGCGUAAAGAGCGUGUAGGCGGUUCGGUAAGUCUGCCGUGAAAACCUGGGGCUCAACCCCAGGCGUGCGGUGGAUACUGCCGGGCUAGAGGGUGGUAGAGGCGAGUGGAAUUCCCGGUGUAGCGGUGAAAUGCGCAGAUAUCGGGAGGAACACCAGUAACGAAGGCGGCUCGCUGGGCCAUACCUGACGCUGAGACGCGAAAGCGUGGGGAGCAAACAGGAUUAGAUACCCUGGUAGUCCACGCCGUAAACGAUGAACACUAGGUGUGGGCGGAGUCGAAUCUGUCCGUGCCGCAGCCAACGCGUUAAGUGUUCCGCCUGGGGAGUACGGCCGCAAGGCUA